AGUGAACGCUGGCGGCGUGCCUAAUACAUGCAAGUCGAACGGAGAUUAAGUAGCUUGCUAUUUAAUCUUAGUGGCGCACGGGUGAGUAAUAUAUAGCUAACUUGCCCAUUACUCAGGGACAACAGUUGGAAACGACUGCUAAUACCUUAUACUCCGUAUCUAUAUAAGUAGAUACGGGAAAGUUUUUCGGUAAUGGAUAGGGCUAUAUCGUAUCAGCUAGUUGGUAAGGUAAUGGCUUACCAAGGCUAUGACGCGUAACUGGUCUGAGAGGAUGAUCAGUCACACUGGAACUGAGACACGGUCCAGACUCCUACGGGAGGCAGCAGUAGGGAAUAUUGCUCAAUGGGGGAAACCCUGAAGCAGCAACGCCGCGUGGAGGAUGACACUUUUCGGAGCGUAAACUCCUUUUCUUGGGAAAGAAUUAUGACGGUACCCAAGGAAUAAGCACCGGCUAACUCCGUG
rnacentral:rRNA from 1 species